rnacentral:rRNA from 1 species
UACGUAGGGCGCAAGCGUUGUCCGGAAUUAUUGGGCGUAAAGAGCUCGUAGGCGGUCUGUCGCGUCGAUCGUGAAAACUUGGGGCUUAACCCUGAGCUUGCGGUCGAUACGGGCAUGACUGGAGUUCGGCAGGGGAGACUGGAAUUCCUGGUGUAGCGGUGAAAUGCGCAGAUAUCAGGAGGAACACCGAUGGCGAAGGCAGGUCUCUGGGCCACUACUGACGCUGAGGAGCGAAAGCGUGGGGAGCAAACAGG